rnacentral:lncRNA from 1 species
UACAUAAUAGAAAAACUUUGAUUCUUAGUGUUCUCUUUUCCCUUUCUACUACUCAGCCACCAUCACUGCUAUAGCAAGAUUUUGAGUAACAGCCUAGAAUUCUCCAAGAGCUGACUGGGUAAAAGUUCUAAGCUGUUGAAGGAGGAGGAGUUUUCCAACAGUGAGUCUGGAGCUGGAAGUGAAAACUAAAGCUGUGGAUCUGAGACUCCCAUGGAAAAACCAUCUAUCAAGCAGCCUGCCUGUGAGGAUCAACUAGAAGAGGUGGAGAGGAAAUCUCCAGUCAUCCUGGUGGACAGAUUGACUGGGGAAGAGAAUCUCUACUUUGCCUGGAUCAUCUAAGGACAGCAUAACUUGGAUUCCUGCUCCCUGACCCACCAAAGGAUUCUAAAAAGUGAGAAGCAACAUCCAGAAAGAUGGAAGGAAACAUCUCAGCUCCCAUGAAAGCUUCGGAGCUGGGGAGUAAAUGGGAAAUGAAUUAUGGGUUGCGACAGAUGUUAGUCAAAGGCAUCCCUCCGCUAGCCAAAGGAGCUAUGAGUGAAAGACGGUCAAUUUCACCAUCAG